CGUUGCCAUGGUUGCCUCCAGUAAACGGAAGUAUCAAUGUUUUCUCGUCGUGGCUAUAGCAACCAAAGCCGUCCGUGCGGUCGUGUCCUCAGCGAGAUCACAGUCCACUGCUGUGUAAUGUGCAUUGCUGGAAACGGAAACAAUGGGUUGGCUUGUUGCAAUGGUGAUAUCAUACUGGACGUUCAGGACACAGGUCUGUGACGUCCUCUUUCAGCGCGGCAACGGGGCGGGUGAGCUGUCCCGCAUCCGACGUCGGCAUUCACGUGGUGACGGUGUACUAUAAAGCUUCCUCUCCCCCUGACGAAGUCUCUAAGACGAAACAUGUUGGAGUGGUAAUCGGAUGCUGGAAUAAUCCUUUGUCUGCUGUCCUGAUCUGGUGGAGUCCCGAGCAAGGGAUCGGUGAAUCAGCUGUGGUCAACGGCCGCUCCCCUGGUGCUGUCCGGAUGUGUGUGAAACAUUGUGCCGCUUGUCCGAUACUAAGAUGUAUGUAUGCAGAUGCUGCUGUUAAUUAAAUACUUUUAACUGCUUACUUAUA